rnacentral:rRNA from 1 species
AAAAAAAGCCACUAAGCUUCAGUCUAGAGUUGACCGUACCGCAAACCGACACAGGUGGGCAGGAUGAAAAUUCUAAGGCGCUUGAGAGAACUCAGGAGAAGGAACUCGGCAAAUUAACACCGUAACUUCGGGAGAAGGUGUGCCCCGGUAGCGUGUAGAGACUUGCUCUCGAAGCGCGAUGGGGUUGCAGUGAAAUGGUGGCUGCGACUGUUUAUUAAAAACACAGCACUCUGCAAACACGAAAGUGGACGUAUAGGGUGUGACGCCUGCCCGGUGCCGGAAGGUUAAGUGAUGGGGUGCAAGCUCUUGAUCGAAGCCCCGGUAAACGGCGGCCGUAACUAUAACGGUCCUAAGGUAGCGAAAUUCCUUGUCGGGUAAGUUCCGACCUGCACGAAUGGCGUAACGAUGGCCACACUGUCUCCUCCUGGGACUCAGCGAAGUUGAAAUGUUUGUGAAGAUGCAAUCUACCCGCGGCUAGACGGAAAGACCCCAUGAACCUUUACUGUAGCUUUGCAUUGGACUUUGAACCGGUUUGUGUAGGAUAGGUGGGAGACUGUGAAGCCGGGACGCUAGUUUCGGUGGAGUCAACCUUGAAAUACCACCCUGAUUUGUUUGAGGUUCUAACCUUGGUCCGUGAAUCCGGAUCGGGGACCGUGCAUGGUAGGCAGUUUGACUGGGGCGGUCUCCUCCCAAAAGGUAACGGAGGAGUACGAAGGUACGCUUAGGGCGGUCGGACAUCGCCCACAAAGUGCAAUGGCAAAAGCGUGCUUGACUGCGAGACCCACAAGUCGAGCAGGUACGAAAGUAGGUCAUAGUGAUCCGGUGGUUCUGUAUGGAAGGGCCAUCGCUCAACGGAUAAAAGGUACUCUGGGGAUAACAGGCUAAUUCCUCCCAAGAGUUCAUAUCGACGGGGGAGUUUGGCACCUCGAUGUCGGCUCAUCACAUCCUGGGGCUGUAGUCGGUCCCAAGGGUAUGGCUGUUCGCCAUUUAAAGUGGUACGCGAGCUGGGUUUAAAACGUCGUGAGACAGUUUGGUCCCUAUCUGCCGUGGGCGCUGGAAAUUUGAAGGGGGCUGCUCCUAGUACGAGAGGACCGGAGUGGACGAACCUCUGGUGUACCGGUUAUGACGCCAGUCGUAUCGCCGGGUAGCUAAGUUCGGAAGAGAUAAACGCUGAAAGCAUCUAAGCGUGAAACUCGCCUUAAGAUAAGAUUUCCCGGAGUCUUGAACUCCCUGAAGGGUCGUCGAAGACCACGACGUUGAUAGGUCAGGUGUGGAAGCGCAGCAAUGCGUUAAGCUAACUGAUACUAAUUGCCCGUGCGGCUUGAUCG